GGAAAGGUGGCCGAGUGGUUUAAGGCGGCGGUCUUGAAAACCGCUGUGGGGCUUCGCCUCACCGUGAGUUCGAAUCUCACCCUUUCCG
rnacentral:tRNA from 2 species